UACGAAGGGGGCGAGCGUUGUCCGGAUUUAUUGGGCGUAAAGAGCUCGUAGGCGGCUUGUCGCGUCGUUCGUGAAAACCCGGGGCUCAACUCCGGGCUUGCGGGCGAUACGGGCAGGCUAGAGUUCGGUAGGGGAGACUGGAAUUCCUGGUGUAGCGGUGAAAUGCGCAGAUAUCGGGAGGAACACCAAUGGCGAAGGCAGCUUGCUGGGACGGUACUGACGCUGAGGCGCGAAAGCGUGGGGAGCAAACAGG
rnacentral:rRNA from 1 species